GUUUCGGGUCGCGGAGGAGAUCCCUGCCAGUGUAGAGAAGCGUCCGCGGAAUCCAGGAAGUGAUGAGAGACCUGAACUCAUGCAGAGGAUACAGGAGGUGACUGUCAGGAGGCAAAGUGGAGAAUUACACACAGAUCUACCGACUUAGCCAGGAACCACCAGUAUUGGGAAGCUUGAACAAUGUGCAAUUUCCCUAUUCUAAGUCUCGACAUAGAACAUCAUCAGGCAGGAAGAGAGCCAGGUGACAAGGUGCUCUGGGAAUGUCUGGUGAACCGAAGGGACUGCCUACUGGCCACAGUUCUUUUUCAACAAGGCUAAUGAUAAAGGUGGCCAGGAAUUUUUUUCCUCUCUGCCGGGUGUUGCAGAACCUGAACACUGAGGCCAUAUUGUUCCAGCUUUGACACAUGUUCUUACUUUCUGGUGCCACAAGACAUUCCAGGUUCUUCUCACAUGUUACCCGUCCAGGCCCUGGAAUCAACUAUUUCUGCAAGGAGCUCUGAUUCCUGUCUUACUUAGAGUGGUGUUUGGAAACCAAGAUCUGAGCACAAGAUGUGACACUGGCUAAAAUUUCUGACAAUUACAAGUUGAUGAAAAUUCAGAGUAAUUGGAAUUCAUAUGCUUAUGGGAAUUUGUACAGUUGGUGUGGAAAACAAUUUAGCAUUAGCUAAAUACCAGUAAUUCCACUGGAAAAACUCUUGCCCGUGUGCAACAGGAGUGCGCACAACUUUGUUCAAAACAGCACAAAAAUGAGAUAACCAAUGGCCAUCGGUCAGAAGAAAGAUGAAUAAAGUGUGUUAUAUUCAUCAAG